UACGUAGGGUGCGAGCGUUGCCCGGAUUCAUUGGGCGUAAAGGGUGCGUAGGCGGCGCGGUAAGUCGGGUGUGAAAUCUCGGGGCUUAACUCCGAAACUGCAUUCGAUACUGCCGUGCUUGAGGACUGGAGAGGAGACUGGAAUUUACGGCGUAGCGGUGAAAUGCGUAGAUAUCGUAAGGAAGACCAGUGGCGAAGGCGGGUCUCUGGACAGUUCCUGACGCUGAGGCACGAAGGCCAGGGGAGCAAACGGG
rnacentral:rRNA from 1 species